UGGGGUAUCGCCAAGCGGUAAGGCACCGGUUUUUGAUACCGGCAUUCCCUGGUUCGAAUCCAGUGCCACAGCCA
rnacentral:tRNA from 1 species